rnacentral:tRNA from 1 species
GGGAAGGUGGCUCAGUGGUAGAGUGCUUGCCUCGCAUGCACAAGGCCCUGGGUUCGAUUCCUCAGCAUCCCA